AUCCAACUGACGAGUCCCAAAUAGAAUGAAACUCUCAUCCUGUAU
rnacentral:hammerhead_ribozyme from 1 species